rnacentral:rRNA from 1 species
AGUGGCAAACGGCUGAGUAACGCGUAGGAACCUACCCCAAACUCGAGUAUAGCCCCGCGAAAGCGGGGGUAAUCCUCGAUAGCCCGUGAAGUAUUUUACUUCACGGUAAAGCUUUUGCGGUUUGGGAUGGGCCUGCGUCCUAUCAGGUAGUUGGUGAGGUAAAUGCUCACCAAGCCUAUGACGGGUAGCUGGUCUGAGAGGAUGGUCAGCCAGACUGGGACUGCGACACGGCCCAGACUCCUACGGGAGGCAGCAACUAGGAAUUGUGCGCAAUGGACGAAAGUCUGACGCCGCGACAUCGCGUGGAGGAUGAAGGUCUUCGGAUUGUAAACUCCUUUUCUCACCGAACAAGUUCUGAGUGUAGGUAAGGAAUAAGUGCCUGCUAACCACGUGCCAGAAGCAUCGGUAAUACGUGGGGCACGAGCGUUAUCCGGAUUUACUGGGCGUAAAGAGAAGCGUAGGCGGCUCAAUAAGUUUGGUGUUAAAUCUUCCGGCUCAACCGGAAACAAGCACCGAAAACUAUCGAGAUUGAGUCGAGUAGGGAAGAGGGGAAUUCCUGGUGGAGCGGUUAAAUGCGUAGAUAUCAGGAGGAAUACCAAGGGCGAAGGCACCUCUUUGGACUCGUACUGACGCUGAGGCUCGAAAGCGUGGGUAGCGAAACGGAUUAGAUACCCGUGUAGUCCACGCCGUAAACGAUCCCUGUUAGAUGUAUGUUUUGUC